GGUUUCUGUAGUUGAAUAACAACAGUGGUUUUUCAUAUCACUAGUCAUGGUUAAAUUCCAUGUAGGAAUCA
rnacentral:tRNA from 1 species